rnacentral:rRNA from 1 species
UGGGGAAUAUUGGACAAUGGGGGAAACCCUGAUCCAGCCAUGCCGCGUGAGUGAUGAAGGCCUUAGGGUUGUAAAGCUCUUUUGCCAGGGAAGAUGAUGACGGUACCUGGAGAAUAAGCACCGGCUAACUUCGUGCCAGCAGCCGCGGUAAUACGAAGGGUGCUAGCGUUGUUCGGAAUCACUGGGCGUAAAGCGCGCGUAGGCGGCUUCUCAAGUCAGGGGUGAAAUCCUUGGGCUCAACCCAAGAAUUGCCUCUGAAACUGUGGAGCUGGAGUACUGGAGGGGAUAGCGGAAUUCCUAAUGUAGAGGUGAAAUUCGUAGAUAUUAGGAGGAACACCGGUGGCGAAGGCGGCUAUCUGGACAGUAACUGACGCUGAGGCGCGAAAGCGCGGGGAUCAAACAGGAUUAGAUACCCCUGUAGUCCCUGAGCGGGCUGGCAAGGCGCAU